UACGUAGGUGGCAAGCGUUGUUCGGAUUUAUUGGGCGUAAAGCGCGCGCAGGCGGUCUUUUAAGUCUGAUGUGAAAUCUCGGGGCUCAACCCCGAGCGGUCAUUGGAAACUGGGAGACUUGAGUGCAGAAGAGAAGAGCGGAAUUCCACGUGUAGCGGUGAAAUGCGUAGAGAUGUGGAGGAACACCAGUGGCGAAGGCGGCUCUUUGGUCUGUAACUGACGCUGAGGUGCGAAAGCGUGGGGAGCGAACAGG
rnacentral:rRNA from 1 species